CAGUAGCCACGGUAAUACGGAGGGGGCAAGCGUUGUUCGGAAUUACUGGGCGUAAAGCACACGUAGGCGGACGGAGAAGUCAGAGGUGAAAUCCCAGGGCUCAACCCUGGAACUGCCUUUGAAACUUUCUGUCUUGAGGUCGAGAGAGGUGAGUGGAAUUCCGAGUGUAGAGGUGAAAUUCGUAGAUAUUCGGAGGAACACCAGUGGCGAAGGCGGCUCACUGGCUCGAUACUGACGCUGAGGUGCGAAAGCGUGGGGAGCAAACAGGAUUAGAUACCCCUGUAGUCCCUGUCUCUUAUAC
rnacentral:rRNA from 1 species